rnacentral:rRNA from 1 species
GAUGAACGCUGGCGGCGUGCCUAAUACAUGCAAGUCGAGCGAACAGACGAGGAGCUUGCUCCUUUGACGUUAGCGGCGGACGGGUGAGUAACACGUAGGUAACCUACCUAUAAGACUGGGAUAACUUCGGGAAACCGGAGCUAAUACCGGAUAAUAUUUCGAACCGCAUGGUUCGAUAGUGAAAGAUGGCUUUGCUAUCACUUAUAGAUGGACCUGCGCCGUAUUAGCUAGUUGGUAAGGUAACGGCUUACCAAGGCAACGAUACGUAGCCGACCUGAGAGGGUGAUCGGCCACACUGGAACUGAGACACGGUCCAGACUCCUACGGGAGGCAGCAGUAGGGAAUCUUCCGCAAUGGGCGAAAGCCUGACGGAGCAACGCCGCGUGAGUGAUGAAGGUCUUCGGAUCGUAAAACGCUGUUAUUAGGGAAGAACAAACGUGUAAGUAACUGUGCACGUCUUGACGGUACCUAAGCAGAAAGCCACGGCUAACUACGU